rnacentral:lncRNA from 1 species
UCUUAUUAGAAAUUCCUUAUCCUUCACAUGGUAAGGAACGCACUAACAGACUAUUCAAAAAAGACUACAAAUUAACCGUGUAUCUAUCUGACUUCAAAUUAAGUCUCGGACGAAAUGAAUCGUGAUUUUAGGUACGCUUUAGAGAUAGUAAAGAUGUGAAAAAGUUUGAUGCGUUAUCGAAAUAGAUUAUUCAGAAAGUAGUUGGUUAGUGCAUCUUUCAUGCUGUGGGCAGUGAUUCUACUUUAUAGUUUGG